CGCGGGGUCAAUGUUUUUGUUUUCGUUCUACGUUCAGGUGUUGAGUGGCGACGUAUUAACCGUCGAUAACCAGCUGAAGCAGCUCAAGUUCUCGAGUGGAACGAGGUUGACCGUGCGCAGUGGCAGCCGUUGACAACAAAAACAAUGUAUGCACUAAGUUUCGCCGGAUGAGUGCCGGCGUCGAUCGCGAACCGCCAGAGCCGCCAAAUACGAAUACCAAGAACAGGAGGUAUUCGUAAAGGUCUGAACCACGCGAGGAUCGUCUCGAAGCAUGGUAGCCUCAACAGACGCUUGCCGCCACACGCGAGGAGAAAGCAGGAGGCCCGAAGUUUGAAUGUGAAGAGGAGGUGCGAAGAGCUGGCCCUCACUUUUUCAAGGCAGCCGCAGAACACUACGAGCCCCGAAUCACUGCCGCGGCUGACUCACGCGGAUGCUGUGCUGCACCCUGCACUGCACAUGGUUCGAAGCACACUUCAGGGGACCAGUGCAUGCCCCUGAUGCAUCGUCGCGGUAUGUUUUGUACUGCUUUUCCUAGCGGUGCACUGAGCAGUCCAAUCUUGAAGGGAGCACGCGAGUGCGUAGCCAGUGCUCCAUGCAGCAAGGACCGCAAGCACCCGCGGAAGCUUGGAGCACACGCAGUGACGCCAGCAGCCGUGCACGCUGGCGUCGUCUGCUACUGUACCGUCCUUUCGUUCGAAGCACUGUAUGGCUCUCUGCACGCUAGAAUGGGGGCUGUCGUUGAUGCUCGCAGGGGCGUUGCCCACAACUAAGCAGACGACCAAAGUCCUGAGCAGGUGACUAAUCGUUUCAUUGUUCUUUGGUAGGGAAAGGUAGAUAAUGUGCUUCUACUCCCAGCUUUUUUUUUUUUUUUUUUUUUUUUUUUUUUUUUUUAUCACCAUUUAGUAUGUUACCAUCAAAACAGCAUCCUGGUGUUCACAUAAAUAUGUGUUAACAAUACCUAUCGUCAAAUAUGUGACUCAAAGAGCCAACUGCGGCCGAGGAUAUCUUUUAAGUGUUCUUUUUCUCACAAAGAUCCCUGGCAUUGACUUUUUAGCCACGUCGUACCUUGAGUCCACAAAAACAAUGUGCUUCAGCUAAAUGGUAUUCACACAAAAUACAUCCUGACAAGCUGCUUUCACUCUCGAGCCUCGAAGAAAUUUUGCAGUUUGAUUUGAACUAUGUUGUAGGUUAAGGAGGUAGGGUCAGGGAAAAGAAGGUGGGAGAGGAGGAAGCGGGCACAAUGCUGGUCAAACCCUCUCCCUUCGCCGGCGUUGCAUCCAUCUCGUCCUCUCCCACCUUCCUUUUUCUUCCCCUACCUUCUUGAGUUGUCACCGACCAUAUAAAAGGCAUGCAUUGAUAUCACUUGUUCGUUUUGUGGCCAUGGCGCCAGCAAGGUUUGAGAAACGUAUCCUGCUUCACAGGGAUUCAGCACUCAACAUGGAGAAACUAUUGGCAGUGCUGCUGUAAUGUCUUUGUCCUCGUCUUUUGCAGCCAUCUAAAAAAGAGAAAUAUAAUACUAGGAACACAGAGCAACGUCACGCGCCAGUACAUAGUGUACUACGAAGGGCAGGUAAAUUGACUGCGGAACACGAUUUUCUCAAUGUCCUCACGGUUCUUUCGGCCAAGUACAUACAGAUAAGACGAUUACCAUUAGAAAUGUUGAACGCCAAUCCGAAAUGUUUUUUGGCGGUGUGCCGAGCAAAAGGACAUUGCUGCAACAGAAAACAUGUGCCAUCCUCCGCCUUUGGUGCUUCUGUGUCUGCGCCGAGCUUCCGCAGCCACCAACAGUCAACGCUGCAUGGACUGCCCGCCAUGCUUUCAUGCGUUCCAUGUAUGAUUGGCACGGCAUGUGGAUGUGUCAUGCAAGUGACAUCAGCGCUGUUGGCAGUGCCAUGCUGGUUGAGCUUUGCUAGGCUCUGACCAUUGACAAGCUGUUUUAUGCAAUAAUCGCUCUUGGAAGUCCCCAAACUGUUUUUAGCAAUUCAAGUGUCAGAUUUUUUUUAGCUAUGGUUAUACAGGUUUUCUUUUUUAACAUUUACAGAUUUCAAAGAAAAAGUGAAAGUUAUGACAGUUAUAAGUUAUACGGCCAGGCGGACAUUAGAUUCAUGGAAGAAUGCAGCUAAAAGUCCGUGUAGAUCAUGUGUAUCAUGCUUCUCUACAGCGCAGCUACAUACUUGCGUAGGACAACCCCCAUGAAGUGGGGUGGGGGGGCUGCAUGCAUGUGUUGGGUAGCCCCUCUUGGUUUUACAACUCUACCCUGUUGUAAAAUUUUAGAUUUUAAUGCGAACAAGUUGAUAACAAAAAAGAACUUGGUCAACAUUGAUCUUACAACUAGAGAUGUAAAAGGAACAAAAAUAGAGAACAGCAAAAUGUGGAAGAAGACAUCUCGCUUCUUUCAUUUUCAUUUGACUAAGUGACAUUGGUCGGCGACUGUAAGACUUUUAAUCACAAUAGUUAUACACCACAGGUCCCGGGGAUCAUGGCAUCGAUGAGCUCGCUUUCGCCUUGUCCAAGGUAGCAGCGGAACACUACGGGCAGGCCCGGAGUCACCGCACCGGCUGGCUCACGGGCGUCGUCCUGUACUCUGCACGGCACUGCGUGUGGCUUAACCGGCCAAGCAGAGGGUCACUGCAUGACCUUUAUGAGGCGUCGCUAGCCAUUGUUUCAAAUCGUCCUGAUUCAUGGGCCAAGCCUUUCAAGACUGCACUCUUAGGCCCAGUCCUUUUUGGUGGAUCGGAUCUUGCCAUCUUCCCCUCUCGUGGCUUCCUGUUGUACUUAAAUAAAUUGUCAUAUUUUUUUCUUAUGGUGGUGCAUACGUUUUGCCACACUUCACAAAAACAGUGUGGUGAAUCCAUGCCGCAGAUUACUGUGAAACGUGCAGGAAGG
rnacentral:lncRNA from 1 species